GGGGGCGACCUGGUUUCGACGGGGGUUGCGAAGCAGAUGAGGGCAUACCGGGAUUUCAGUCACCCCGUAAAACGCUGAAUUUAUAUAGUCGCAAACGACGAAACUUACGCUCUGGCAGCCUAACGGCCGGCCAGACACUACAACGGUUCGCAGAUGGGCCGGGGGCGUCAAAACCCUGUAGUGUCACUCUACAUCUGCUAGUGCUGUGCCGGGUUACUUGGCUCAGUGCGAAACAAUAGGUAACUCGCCAAAGUCCAGCCUGUCCGUCGGCGUGGCAGCGGUUAAAUCCCAAAAGACACGACUAAGUAUGUAGAACUCACUGUAGAGGAUUUCCGGACGCGGGUUCGAUUCCCGCCGCCUCCACCA
rfam:Chromobacterium amazonense strain DSM 26508 Camzn_DSM26508.6, whole genome shotgun sequence.